AUUGAACGCUGGCGGCGUGCUUUACACAUGCAAGUCGAACGGUAACACGCCGCAAGUUGCUGACGAGUGUCGAACGGGUACGUAAUACAAAGGCGCAUACACCGUCGUGAGGGGUAACUGAUCGCAACGGUAGCUAAUACCGCAUACGGUCUAAGGUAUUAAACGGCGUACUGUAAGGGCUAAAGCCGUUUGUGCUGCCGCUGUCAGAUUAGUUAGUUGGUGAGGUAAAGGCUCACCAAGGCAACGAUUUGUAGCUGGUCUGAGCGUACGAUCAGCCACACUGGGACUGAGACACGGCCCAGACUCCUACGGGAGGCAGCAGUGGGGAAUUUUGGACAAUGGGCGCAAGCCUGACCCAGCAACGCCGCGUGCAGGAAGAAGGCCUUCGGGUUGUAAAAUUCUUUUGUAAGGAACGAAACGGUUCUGGUUAAUCCCCGGGGCUAAUGACGGUACCGUAAGAAUAAGCACCGGCUAACUACGUG
rnacentral:rRNA from 1 species